rnacentral:misc_RNA from 1 species
GCUAGAACUAAUCGACUUAACCUAAUAUAUUGUUUCAAUUUAAUUUGAUUUUACUAUUAGUUUGGUUAUUAAUUCAAAAUAUGAUUUUUUGUUAUUAGGUUUUGUUGGUUCGGUCCAAUUCGGAACCAAAUCGACCAUUGCACACCCCUGCUCCGAACCUCAAUGACAGGCAAUUUUACUAAGGUGCAAACCUACUAACAGACGUGUAGAGGCACAAGGCCGAAAAAAGGCACGCUACAAGCAUCCACCUCCUGCAAGCCUUCUCAUUCUUAAAUACCACCAUCAAUACACUCAAAAUAUCCUGACCUAUCAAAAUCUAAUAUCGUCACGUCAAAAAGUCAUUGGAAUUUUCUUCUUGCUGCUAGAAAGUUGUCGCCAUACAACUCUCAAGAUCGCUAGUUAUCAAUCUCUCAAUUUUCAAGAUUCACAUGGAUUAAAUCUCUCUCCCAUCUGCCUUGUUUGGAUCUUCUUUG